UGUUUCUGGGUUAUAUUAAAAAAAUACUCCAUAUAUGAUAUAUGUUGACUUGUUAAUUAUUUUCCUAAUUUUUCCCUCCCAAGAACAAAAUUACAUGCAAAUGAAUAAGAUCAACUGAACUUUCAGCAGUUUGAUAGAAAAGAUUACAAUUAUAUGAUCAAAAGGAAAAGAAAAGAAAUUAGACACAGUGAGGUCAAAGAAGAAAGGAAUCGCCUUACUUGAGACUCUCCAAACUGUGAGAAAUGAAAGAGA
rnacentral:misc_RNA from 1 species